UCUCUAUUAUUCAUGAUAUCUGUAGUUUUGAUACAAUUGAAGUUUGAAAAAUUCGUACAAUUGUAUCAAAACUACAGAUAUCAUGAAUUUGUACAG
rnacentral:sRNA from 1 species